UUUUGAGAAAUCCUUUUGAAUACAAAAAUUGAUUUAAACUACUAUUCUAGCCUAUAAAAGGAGAGGAUUAGAGUCGAAAUCAAAUCAAAGCGGAGGAGAAGAAAGAGAGAGAGAGAGAGAGAAGAAAUAGAAGAGAAAUGGAAGAAGAAGAAGAGAAAAAGGAAGGGUCUGAGUGGCAGUGGCUGUCAUUCUCUCACCUCACCUCACCUCGGGAAAGCAUUAGCAGUUAAAACUUCAAAGUUUCUGCAAGUCGGGAGAUUUCUGGUACAGGGAGAUCAUGAAAAGAAUGAGAGUGAGCAUCCGAUUCAUCAGAUGAUGCAAUCAAAAGAAGAAGACCGAAAAUGUAAGGGAAGGAGCUUGGUGCAGAGGAUGAGGUCGUUUUCAACAAUGUAUCUAUAUUUUCGUUCAGUGAGACUGUUGUGUUGAGUGUGUGGAGGCAAAAGGUGAGUGAUGCCAUGUGCUUCAAGAAAUUCACCUCAAUCAUCAGUAUAGAGUUGAAUAACGAGGUAUGAAAAUAUUUCUCAACCACUCUUGAAUUUGGGAAAUACACUUGAGACAUCAGAUUUCUUCUGAAUAAUAUAGAGCCAGUUAUAUCU